rnacentral:lncRNA from 1 species
AUGUGUAGGACCAGCCUUGGGGCCAGCGGCGGGCCAACUGGGGCGAUCAGAACAACAGCCACGACAGGCUUAAAUUAUUCGCCCGGAUGGAAGCGGGGACCAGGAAGAGCCACAGUUCUGACUCUCGGGCUGUGGCCUGGAGGGGGCGAGCUCAAAGCUGCUGCCCCACGGGGGCUGCUUCCUCCGCAACUGACCACAGCAGCACGGGCGGACGCGCGUGGAGCCUCCAGGCGGGUCCCCAGCCCCAACCACACCAGCCAGGCCCCUGCCCAUGGCCGGCCCUCUGCCAUCCUUGCGCUCGGGACUCCCCGGGCCGGGAAGGGCGCCCCGGCCUGCUCGGCACUCAGGCCUCGCGGCGUAAAGAAAAAGCGGGCUCAGCCACGCGCCCGACACUGCGCGGACAUCACGAGAGUGCGCAGCGCCUGCGGUCCAGGAGGACGACAGACGGCGGGCCGCGCCCCGGCCCCUGUCCCCGCAGCAGCCGCGACGCGCGGCCCGAGCGCCCGGAGCGGCCCGGGGCUGGAGCGCGGCAGCCGACGGCGGGCGGGGCGGGCGGCGGGGACCCGGCGGGCUGUGCGCGUUCCGCUCCUUGGGCCGCGCGGGGGCCGGGCGCGAGGAGGGGCUGGGCCCGGCGGCGCCGCCACCUACCUCGUGCCCACGCAGCCAUCUUGCGGCAGCUCCUCGCUCGCUCAAAAUGGCCUCCCGGCCCCGCCGCGCGCCCGCCCGAGCCGGGCACAGGGCAGGGGGCCUCGGCCCGGGCUGUCGGCGCGCCCCUCCGCCCUCGGCCGGCCCCGGGCGCCCCGCCGGCGCGCGCCCGCGCCCUCUGGCCCGCGGGCACCUCUGGGUCCGAAGGCCGCGGGCCCUACAGGGCCCUGGUGCACGCGAGGUGUGAAUGUGUGCGUGCUCAACAAGGAUUGCCGUACUGCUUCCGCAGCCCGGAGAGUUGGGGCGCGGGCCCAGGCCCGGAGCCCUUCUCGGGAUCCCCCGAUCAGGGCCGGCUGUGCCAUCCCCAGCGGACGGGUAAGGCUCUGGCCACUGCGCACCUCGGGCUCCCCAGGACGCCAACGGGGAGAGCCGGGUGUCCAAGAAGCCGCGUUGGAGGCCAGAACCGUCAGAGCUGCCAUUUACUUGGCUCCUACUGUGUGCUACGCGCCGUGCUCUGCCGGAUUGUAUCUCAAAGCACAACAGCCAGUAGGUGUAUUAUUCACGCCGUUUUCCUGGGCUUCGGGGAAGGAGGAGACUGCAGCAGGGCCUGGGGAGGAGGGGCGCUUGUCUGGUGAGCCAGGUAAAAACCCAGCCACUCACCGACGGGAUCCUGGAAUCUCCCGCGAGCCCGCUCUUGAGACCCCCAGGGCAGAGGCGGGCUGCAGGCCCACACCCUGGCUGUGGCCACUCACCUUUCCUCCCGCGCGCCCUCCUACGAACUGA